UGGGAAUAUUGCACAAUGGGCGCAAGCCUGAUGCAGCCAUGCCGCGUGUAUGAAGAAGGCCUUCGGGUUGUAAAGUACUUUCAGCGGGGAGGAAGGGAGUAAAGUUAAUACCUUUGCUCAUUGACGUUACCCGCAGAAGAAGCACCGGCUAACUCCGUGCCAGCAGCCGCGGUAAUACGGAGGGUGCAAGCGUUAAUCGGAAUUACUGGGCGUAAAGCGCACGCAGGCGGUUUGUUAAGUCAGAUGUGAAAUCCCCGGGCUCAACCUGGGAACUGCAUCUGAUACUGGCAAGCUUGAGUCUCGUAGAGGGGGGUAGAAUUCCAGGUGUAGCGGUGAAAUGCGUAGAGAUCUGGAGGAAUACCGGUGGCGAAGGCGGCCCCCUGGACGAAGACUGACGCUCAGGUGCGAAAGCGUGGGGAGCAAACAGG
rnacentral:rRNA from 1 species